UCAUUACUGCAAUUACAACAGGUAAGCAGUGUGGAUUAUGUAGAUGGGGGUUAAAGAAACGACCCAGCGGCCUGCAGAGCAGGGAAGCCUUGUACUGCCGCUAAACGCUUCAGACUGAGGUGGAGAUGGUGCCACAGCAGACAUAAGCACGGUUGACUAGGAUUCACCUGUUGUCCAUCAUCAUUAUCAUUCAUUAGUGGAGCUUCUGUGGGACAGCACGUGGACUUCACCGCUGGUGAUCAUCGUGGAGGACAUGACCAGGAGCAAGGUCCCCAACCAUGGCGGACGGGUUGUUUGCGGUCAGCAAGGCCUACUUUGAGCACCUGGGCACCUACGACACGGGCACGGAGAUGUGUGGCGGAGAAAACCUGGAGCUCUCCUUUCGG